CCUACGGGAGGCAGCAGUGGGGGAUAUUGCACAAUGGGCGAAAGCCUGAUGCAGCAACGCCGCGUGGAGGAAGACGGUUUUCGGAGUGUAAACUUCUAUCAAUAGGGAAGAAGGAAAUGACGGUACCUAAAUAAGAAGCCCCGGCUAACUACGUGCCAGCAGCCGCGGUAAUACGUAGGGGGCAAGCGUUAUCCGGAAUUACUGGGUGUAAGGGGAGAGGAGGGGGCAAGGUAAGCGAUAUGUGAAAGCCUUAAGCUUAACUUGAGGAUUGCAUAACGAACUAUCUAGCUAGAGUACAGGAGAGGCAAGCGGAAUUCCUAGUGUAGCGGUGAAAUGCGUAGAUAUUAGGAAGAACACCAGUGGCGAAGGCGGCCUUCUGGACUGCAACUGACGUUGAGGCUCGAAAGCGUGGGGAGCGAACAGGAUUAGAUACCCCUGUAGUC
rnacentral:rRNA from 1 species